GGAGGGGUGGCUGAGUGGUUGAAAGCGUCGGUUUCGAAAACCGAUGUCCCGGUUUCCGGGACCGGAGGUUCGAAUCCUCCUCCCUCCGCCA
rnacentral:tRNA from 1 species